GACGAACGCUGGCGGUGUGCUUAACACAUGCAAGUCGAACGGUAAGGCCCUUUCGGGGGCACACGAGUGGCGAACGGGUGAGUAACACGUGAGUAACCUGCCCUCAUCUCUGGGAUAACAGUCGGAAACGGUUGCUAAUACUGGAUAUGAGCUUGCAAGGCAUCUUGUGGGUUGGAAAGAUUUUUUUGGUUGGGGAUGGACUCGCGGCCUAUCAGCUUGUUGGUGAGGUAGUGGCUCACCAAGGCUUCGACGGGUAGCCGGCCUGAGAGGGCGACCGGCCACAUUGGGACUGAGAUACGGCCCAAACUCCUACGGGAGGCAGCAGUGGGGAAUAUUGCACAAGGGACGGAAGUCUGAUGCAGCAACGCCGCGGGCGGGAUGACGGCCUUCGGGUUGUAAACCGCUUUCAAUUGUGACGAAGCUUUUUGUGACGGUAGCAGUAGAAGAAGCACCGGCUAACUACGUG
rnacentral:rRNA from 1 species